UGGGGAAUAUUGCACAAUGGGCGCAAGCCUGAUGCAGCCAUGCCGCGUGUGUGAAGAAGGCCUUCGGGUUGUAAAGCACUUUCAGCGAGGAGGAAGGCAGUCGUGUUAAUAGCACGAUUGAUUGACGUUACUCGCAGAAGAAGCACCGGCUAACUCCGUGCCAGCAGCCGCGGUAAUACGGAGGGUGCAAGCGUUAAUCGGAAUUACUGGGCGUAAAGCGCACGCAGGCGGUUUGUUAAGUCAGAUGUGAAAUCCCCGCGCUUAACGUGGGAACUGCAUUUGAAACUGGCAAGCUAGAGUCUUGUAGAGGGGGGUAGAAUUCCAGGUGUAGCGGUGAAAUGCGUAGAGAUCUGGAGGAAUACCGGUGGCGAAGGCGGCCCCCUGGACAAAGACUGACGCUCAGGUGCGAAAGCGUGGGGAGCAAAACAGGAUUAGAUACCCUGGUAGUCCACGCUGUAAACGAUGUCGACUUGGAGGUUGUGCCCUUGAGGCGUGGCUUCCGGAGCUAACGCGUUAAGUCGA
rnacentral:rRNA from 1 species